ACUUGAUAUAUACCGUAGCUUCAAUUUGAUAUAUAUUAGAUAUAUUAAAAAACGUAUCUUUCUUCCCCAAAAGCAACCCGAUAAAAUUCCUGAAACAAACCUAAUUAAAAAACCUCUCUUUCUUCCCCAAAAGCAAACCCGUUAAAACUCCUCAAAAAAAUAUUUUGCUAGCAGACUAAAGAAUCAACGAAGAAACAACAAAUCAAGCAAAACAACGCUGACCCAAGCACGACCAUGGGUGUUCCUCUCUCAAACGCAGAACCAAGCUCGACCAUGGGUGCCAAUGUUUUCAAUCUUCGACCCGGCCGCCAUAUCAGAUCAUUCUCUCUAGGUUUUGUAAGAAAAUAUUGUGGAUAUGAAUGGGUUUUGUAGUGGAGAUAGUAUUGAAGAGCCUCCCAACCCUCAAAAUCUGACAACAAUCAUACAGGAAGGGGUUACUUAGUAUGUGGUUUGACCUAUAAAACUUCAAUGCUGCUAUAUCCUCCUCCUCUCAGGUUCUCACAUUUUCUUAUUUAGUAUUUUAAUUCCUUUUUCUAUUUGGUUGGAGAUUUGUACUUUUCUUUAUUUUUUUUGUUAUUAUUAGUAGCCUUGGUUGGAGUUUCUUAAUUCCUAUAAGAUAUUGUUUGAAAUACAAAGUGUUUUGGCUGAAUUAUUAUGUAAGCAUCCAAAUAAGAAGUUGUAUAACUGACUGGAAACUCAGAUUCAGUUUGUUAUUUUCUAUUUGAUUAUUGAAUUCCCUGUAGAUUUUUUGUUUGGGGUAGGGUUGGAGUAGACUAUGUGUAUCUGUGGGAGUCUUUUUUAUAUCAUUAUUGGUUUAUUAAGUUUAA